AUUGAACGCUAGCGGGAUGCUUUACACAUGCAAGUCGAACGGCAGCGCAAGAAAGCUUGCUUUCUUGGCGGCGAGUGGCGAACGGUUGAGUAAUGCAUCGGAACGUGCCCAGUAGCGGGGGAUAACUGGCCGAAAGGUCAGCUAAUACCGCAUACGCCCUACGGGGGAAAGGGGGGGAUCGCAAGACCUCUCACUAUUGGAGCGGCCGAUAUCGGAUUAGCUAGUUGGUGGGGUAAAGGCCUACCAAGGCGACGAUCCGUAGCUGGUUUGAGAGGACGACCAGCCACACUGGGACUGAGACACGGCCCAGACUCCUACGGGAGGCAGCAGUGGGGAAUUUUGGACAAUGGGGGAAACCCUGAUCCAGCCAUCCCGCGUGUGCGAUGAAGGCCUUCGGGUUGUAAAGCACUUUUGGCAGGGAAGAAACAGCCUGGGCUAAUAUCCCGGGCGACUGACGGUACCUGCAGAAUAAGCACCGGCUAACUACGUGCACCGGCUAACUACGUGCCAGCAGCCGCUGUAAUACGUANGGUGCAAGCGUUAAUCGGAAUUACUGGGCGUAAAGCGUGCGCAGGCGGUUCGGAAAGAAAGGUGUGAAAUCCAGGGCUUAACCUUUGGAACUGCACUUUUAACUACCGGCUAGAGUACGUCAGAAGGGGGUAGAAUUUCACGUGUAGCAAUGAAAUCGUANAGAUGUGGAGGAAUACCCAUGGCGAAGGCAGNCCCCUGGGUUAUACUGACNCUUAUUCCCCAAA
rnacentral:rRNA from 1 species